GAUUGGUGGUUGUCUUGACGCGAGCCAGAACUGUGUCCGUCUCCUCUUAACUCGGACGCAAGAAAGGGUGUCCCGUCGCCGGAGAGAGAGAGAGAGAGGACGACGCGAGGGGUUUGCGGCUUCGACGGAGGCGUGGCGUCGACUGAAUCGGUGUGGAAAGCGGCAGCGGCGACGGUGGAGGAGGAGGAUUUGAUGGUGGAGGAAGUCAGCGCUGGAGCGGCGGGGGAGACGGAGGAGGAAGUCAGAAAUGAGGAGGAGCUGGGGCUAGGGCUGACCUUGGGGCGGCGAGGAAGGGGAAGCCGCUGCCGGCGCCGUGGGGCCGUGCUGGCGCAUCUUGAUCGCCAAGAACUUCCCCUCGCUGGCGUCGCGCGCCUCUCCGAUGUCCCCAACCGCUUCCUUGGUCUCCUCGUCCUCCGGCACCAACCUGGGUGUCGCCGGGACUAAGCGGGCGGCAGAAUCCGUCUCCCCUGACUCCCCUCCUCCCCGUCUCAGUGAGCGAACAGUCAGGUGGCAGUGGGAUGGCCACCUAUCAGGGCCUUCAGGAUGAACAGAUUGUUCAACCAUUCCAAAGAUAGUACCUCCAAUUCCCUCAAGAAGACCAACCUCAUCAUUGGCAGCAAUGAUCAGGAGAAUAAAGGAAAAGAAACAAGGAAUUCAUUAUUUGGUAAAUUGAAAAGGAUGGUGAUCCUAUAUGUUGGAAGGUGGAUCUCAUUGCCCAUCAUUCUCAUUUAUCUCUUGAAGUUGCACUUGAGCUCAUGUUUCAGAAGCCUACUAUGGGCCCUGCCCUUUGGCAUCUAUCCAUGGAGCAAAGGUUUCAAAGUUGUUAGAUGGUUCUUCUGAGUUUUCUCUUACUUAUGAAGACAAGGAUGGGGACUGGAUGCUGGUUGGAGAUGUGUCUCGAACGAAUGGUUUUGGAAACAGUGAAGAGACUUAGAAUUAUGAGGAAGCAAAUGGGCUGUCAGUCUGUUCAUUUUGGAGAGCACCAGGAUUUCAGUCCCUCAGCAAGGCCAGUGAAGCAAUCGGAAGCAGUCCCGGCAUAACAGCUGGAAACUGAAUGAGGUACCCUUAGAGGAGAGAAGAAGAUGGGGACUCUGGAGUAUGUAUUACACAGAAGAAGAGAUGAAACAAUUAGAGGAGCCUAGAUCAAUUUGGGCAAAAAACAUAUUUGCCCUUGUUUUUGGUGGUUGAUUAGGUUCAUGAUUUCUCUGUGGUCAUUCAUGGCUGACCACUCCCGGCAUGCUUGCUGCUUCAAUGCUGCAACUGUUUCACAGUUUCUACUGAAUACAAUACAUGGUUUUGGAUA